rnacentral:rRNA from 1 species
UAGAGUUUGAUCCUGGCUCAGAUUGAACGCUGGCGGCAGGCCUAACACAUGCAAGUCGAGCGGAUGAGAGGAGCUUGCUCCUUAAUUCAGCGGCGGACGGGUGAGUAAUGCCUAGGAAUCUGCCUGGUAGUGGGGGACAACGUUUCGAAAGGAACGCUAAUACCGCAUACGUCCUACGGGAGAAAGCAGGGGACCUUCGGGCCUUGCGCUAUCAGAUGAGCCUAGGUCGGAUUAGCUAGUUGGUGAGGUAAUGGCUCACCAAGGCGACGAUCCGUAACUGGUCUGAGAGGAUGAUCAGUCACACUGGAACUGAGACACGGUCCAGACUCCUACGGGAGGCAGCAGUGGGGAAUAUUGGACAAUGGGCGAAAGCCUGAUCCAGCCAUGCCGCGUGUGUGAAGAAGGUCUUCGGAUUGUAAAGCACUUUAAGUUGGGAGGAAGGGCAGUAAAUUAAUACUUUGCUGUUUUGACGUUACCGACAGAUAAGCACCGGCUAACUCUGUGCCAGCAGCCGCGGUAAUACAGAGGGUGCAAGCGUUAAUCGGAAUUACUGGGCGUAAAGCGCGCGUGGGUGGUUCGUUAAGUUGGAUGUGAAAUCCCCGGGCUCAACCUGGGAACUGCAUUCAAAACUGUCGAGCUAGAGUAUGGUAGAGGGUGGUGGAAUUUCCUGUGUAGCGGUGAAAUGCGUAGAUAUAGGAAGGAACACCAGUGGCGAAGGCGACCACCCUGGACUUAUACUGACACUGAGGUGCGAAAAGCGUGGGGGAGCCAAACAGGAUUUAAAUACCCUGGGUAGUC